rnacentral:misc_RNA from 1 species
CUAACUCCGAGUUGAAUCUCGCUGUGAGAGAUCUCGAAUAUUUAUUAGAGCAGAAAAACAGUGAAUCUUGUAUUAAUGAGCGCCAUUCUUCUGAAAAUGGAUCAUUACAUCGGUCAAUUUCCAAAUCAAGGCAAGCAUGCAUGCGCGAGUUGUGCAUUAAGGAUAAUGAAGACAUCGAAAUGCAAAUGGAGCAGCUUGCUUUGGACUACGAGAUUCUUAAACAGG